AUGGCACCCAACUUCGGCCGGUCCAUCUCCUUCCCUCUCACCCCGGCGAGGUCCUUCUCAAAGUCGUCCCGCCACGUCCGCUCCGUCAGCCUCCCCGGCACCACCUCCUCCCACCCGCUCCUCGCCAACCUCCACGCCCACAUCGCCGCCGUCCGUUCCUGGAUCCAGGACACGGCCUCCCUCCAGGCCGGCCUCGCCAACAUCCACGCGCUCCACGCCGCGCUCGCCGACCUCCUCCUCCUCCCAGCGUCCGUGGCCGCGCUUCGGUGCACCACCAGCAACACCGGCGACCGCCUCCUUGACGCCUUCCUCCUCCUCGCGGACGCGCACCAGGGCUUCCAGGAGUGCCUCCUAGAGCUCAGGCAGGCCGCCGCCGAGUCCCGCACUGCACUCCGCAGAGGGGACGCGGGCAGGCUCGCGUCCGCCUCCAGUUCCCAGCGCAGAGCAGAGAAGGACCUCGCGCGCCUCGCCGCGUCGGUCUCCGCCGUCUCCACCAAAUGCGCGCGCCUGAACCUCGUCGCCGUUAGCGGCGAGGAGGCCGAGAUGGCCUAUGCUCUUGUGGAGGCGGCCGCUGCCAGCGCUGCGGCCUCCGCGGCCGUGUUCUCGGCCGCCGCGUCCAUGUCGUCUGCGGUGUCGUCUUGCAAGAAGACGGCCACGUUUAUUCCUGCGUUCGCAAGGAAGUCCACCGCCCCCGAGUCGGCGGAGGCGACCGUGGAGAGGCUGCACGCGCUGGAGCAGUGCUUCGACGAGUGCGACGGCGCCUGCGACAUGGUGUUCAGGAGCGUGGUGCAGACCAGAGUUUCACUGCUCAACAUCAUGACGCCCACCAUCUAG
rnacentral:rRNA from 1 species